rnacentral:piRNA from 1 species
UGAAAGACUGGCUUCUUGAUGUGUGG